AAAGAGAUGGCGACCGGCGCACGGGUGAGUAACACGUAUCCAACCUGCCGAUAACUCCGGAAUAGCCUUUCGAAAGAAAGAUUAAUACCGGAUGGCAUACGAAUAUCGCAUGAUAUUUUUAUUAAAGAAUUUCGGUUAUCGAUGGGGAUGCGUUCCAUUAGUUUGUUGGCGGGGUAACGGCCCACCAGGACUACGAUGGAUAGGGGUUCUGAGAGGAAGGUCCCCCACAUUGGAACUGAGACACGGUCCAA
rnacentral:rRNA from 1 species